rnacentral:misc_RNA from 1 species
AACUAUUAACGGUGGAUCACUCGGCUCAUAGAUCGAUGAAGAAGGCAGCUAGCUGCCAUAAGCGGUGUGAAUUGCAGGACACACUGAACACUAGAUUUUCGAACGCACAUUGCACCUUCGGGUCUUUCCCGAAGGUACGCCUGUCUGAGGGUCGGAAUAAAAUUGACUCAUACGAAGGCUCGUAUCGAGAGACAAGCACUAGUUGCUACACUUUCGUCGAGCAUGAGACGUUAGCGUGAUGAUAAGUCAGCCUUUUGCUUGCUGUCUUGUACGGCACAGAAGCGGCUAUCAGCGGCAACACUACCCGUUGCUGCUGCGCUUCAGCCCUUGAGUUACAAGUCAACCAAGUAGAUGCGAGACAAACUAUCCGCUAAAAACACUAACUGCCGGAGUAUCUCCGACAAACUUUUCUGUCGACCUCAGAUCAGACGAGAUUACCCACUGAAUUUAAGCAUAUAAAUAAGUGGAGGAAAAGAAACCAAAAGGGAUUCCCUGAGUAAUGGCGAACGAAAGGGGA